GCCUGCGCUGUGUGGGCCCGGAGUGGAGCGCGCCUGGUCCGGCCCCCAGCGAGCCGGCGUCACGUUUGAUUUCAGCAAGCGGCCUGGAGCGCGCGGGAAGCAGCGCGCUGUGCUUUCUGGUGCUCGCUCUUCCUUGCGUCUGCGCUGUUGCUGCAAUAGGUUGAGGGCUGUGUGGUUUCUGAGCUUUGGGACUGGAGAGCUGUGCUCAGAAAGUGAAUUGAGGGACCUUACACGGACAUUGCUGUUCAGUAUUUGUGGUGUCACUCCACUUGACACUUUGAGGGUUCAAGACUAUGCCUUGGCUUGUAACUCCAGCAAGAUGACUCAAGGACAGAGGGCAAGACAGAAGAUUGACUAAGGAAUGUGCCUUUUCUGAGGUCGCUCGACUAGUCUAACUGCAUCAGCGAUGUGGAGAGCAAGACAGCAGACAGAGCAGGAAGGACAGACACCAGGACAGGUUCAUGGAAACAGUGUUUACAGAUACAAACCUCCAAACACUUGACUCUAGCUUGUAGUAUGGAACUUGGUAUGGAAAAAACACAUUUUUAUGUCCUACUCUCCCUAGUCAUUGUUAAUCUCUCAUUAUGACUUAAAAUAUACAGUGUUGAAAUUCAAAAAUUGAAAACUGGAUGUAUGGAUGUGUGAGUGCGUAUGUGUAUUUAUGUGCGUGCCUAGAGUUUUCAACCUAAUUAAUACUUAGUCAAGUAGAUCUUAAAAAAAUUGUUAAGACUCCAGCUCCAUCUAUAAUUUGAAGAUAAUGAAGGUCAACUUAUCAAAAGAAGCCUCUUAAAUCCAUACUAACAUAGGCAUAGUUUUCCACAUACAGGAAAUUACUGGAUAAACAAUGUAGAAAAUAAUUUAACCUUUUCCAUUCCAUUGCCCUUUAGGACCUCUUUCAAGAUAAGGCUUAGCCAAAUGAGGGUUCCGUUUUUCUUCCCCUACAUACACCUUUUCUUUCUUUUAUCCCCCCAUUUUGAUGGCACUGGGAUUGAACUUGUGCUAGGCAACCACCCUACAACUGAAGCUACAUUCUGAGCCCUUUAUUUUGAAACAGAAUUGCUAACUUUAGGAUCUUCCUACCUCAGUGGAGCUCCCUAGUAUGGUAGCCGGGAUUACUGCAUGUGCCACUGUGCUUGGCCUCUUGUUUUUAUUUUUACUAUACUAAAGGUUAUUUCUCUGUGACUGUGACAUAAAGCAUCUACUUAUUUCCUUGCAUAUUCUUUAAAGAAUGCAAAGAAAUCAAGCUAUACAGCUAUUAAGUUUUAAAUUGCUUCAUAAAGCAUUACAUUUUAUUAGGGCUUCUGACACAUACCUUGCACCCUGUGGGUUAUAUAAUUAGGAAGUCAACCUUUAAUACAUAUAAAUGUAUUUUUGAAGUAUGUACAUCAUCCUGCUCUAUAAAAAUGAGAUACAUGCCAAACAAAACACAAAAUCUUUCCUGUGUAAGUCAUACCCAAAAGGCUUAUGUUUUUGGUAAACCCCAGCAUAUAUAUUUAACCAAGACUUGCAUUAUAGGCUUCAUAUGCAAGUGACUUUCUGAUGAAUAGCCAUAAAACACCUAAUGUAGCUGUGUUUCCUUCAAUAUCCUUUAUCAAGGAUUCUGACUUAGGCAUUAGCAAGAAGUAAAAUCCUAACUAGAAUUACUGAUACUAAGCUCCUGAACUAAUAACUGCUAAGAUAUACACCCUACUAAGUACUGUUCUAUUUAACAUUAUAUAGUAGGCACUCAGACA
rnacentral:lncRNA from 1 species